rnacentral:tRNA from 1 species
GCUAGCGUAGUUAACUUAAAACGUAACAUUGAAAAUGUUAAGGUGGGCCCUAAAAAGCUCCGCAAGCA